UACGUAGGGUGCAAGCGUUAUCCGGAAUUAUUGGGCGUAAAGAGCUCGUAGGCGGUUUGUCGCGUCUGCUGUGAAAACCCGAGGCUCAACCUCGGGCCUUGCAGUGGGUACGGGGCAGACUAGAGUGCGGUAGGGGAGAUUGGAAUUCCUGGUGUAGCGGUGAAAUGCGCAGAUAUCAGGAGGACACCGGUGGCGAAGGCGGGUCUCUGGGCCGAUACUGACGCUGAGGAGCGAAAGCGUGGGGAGCGAACAGG
rnacentral:rRNA from 1 species